rnacentral:rRNA from 1 species
GACGAACGCUGGCAGCGUGCCUAAUACAUGCAAGUAGAACGCUGAAGGAGGAGCUUGCUUCUCCGGAUGAGUUGCGAACGGGUGAGUAACGCGUAGGUAACCUGCCUGGUAGCGGGGGAUAACUAUUGGAAACGAUAGCUAAUACCGCAUAACAGUAGAUGUUGCAUGACAUUUGCUUAAAAGGUGCAAUUGCAUCACUACCAGAUGGACCUGCGUUGUAUUAGCUAGUUGGUGAGGUAACGGCUCACCAAGGCGACGAUACAUAGCCGACCUGAGAGGGGGAUCGGCCACACUGGGACUGAGACACGGCCCAGACUCCUACGGGAGGCAGCAGUAGGGAAUCUUCGGCAAUGGACGGAAGUCUGACCGAGCAACGCCGCGUGAGUGAAGAAGGUUUUCGGAUCGUAAAGCUCGGUUGUAAGAGAAGAACGAGUGUGAGAGUGGAAAGUUCACACUGUGACGGUAUCUGACCAGAAAGGGACGGCUAACUACGUG